UUCUUGACAGUUGUAUUCAGACACAAGUCAACCACAGAGAGGAAGGAAACACAGCCAAAGACAAAACGGUUCCCAUAUCACACCAUAAAGCAUGGGCAGAGUUAAAUGAAAAAGAGAGAGAAAGCCAAAUAGGAGAAGAAAUGUCCAUGAAAACAUGAAAGAUGUCACAUCACAUGAUCAUCUGCCACAAGUCAAAAAUAAACCUAAAUAGUAGGGAUGGGCAUUUGGUCAUUUUGUCUACUCGAGUCCUCGGACUAAGUUCACGUCGAGUACUCGAGGGGCAAUGACAUGUACAUAACUGUAUAUAUAAUAACAUGCCUGACAAAUGUCUUUGGCUGCUGCAUUGUGUCUUGUUGUUCCAGUGUAUCAUCUAUUUAUAGGCGUUACAAAACAAUUGGUUACAAAAUGUACAAAAGAUUGCAUAAUCAAUGCAUCAUAUUUUGUCGUUAUGUGAAGAUUCGCUGCCCAACUCGAUGAAAGAAUGUGCACAACGCACGUCUGUCUGUUCUUCCUUCAGGUUACCAUAGUAAUCCAAGUAAGUGUGCACUAGUUUUUUUAGUAGCUGUCUGAACCGUCUAUUUUCAAAUCGCGGUUGGCUUAACAGGAGACACCAUAACCAUCGCGUUUUUAAUGUGUGUGUUAAGUUGAAGUUCAGUUUUGAAGACGCUGCAUUCUGAUGCCGCGAUGCUCCAUACUGCUGUUGCUGUGAUGAUUCAUGAAGCGUUCCAUUCAACUCGGAGAGUCAGAAUUUCCACCUUUCAACUGGGGAAAGUGCAACGGAAUGACACAUUAUUAUGUCAGAUCUUCUAACUUGGAAACUUGUGCGGAAAUCUUCAACUCACAUUUCGUCGAGAUACAGAAUUGAAUAGAAGAACAAGAAGCCCUACAACAGAUGUCAUGGUCCCCACAGAGCCCAGAUCAUUGAGUCUGUCUGGGAUUACAUGAAGAGACAGAAACAAUCGAGACAGCCUAAAUAGACAGAGAACUGUGGCAAGUUCUCCAAGAAGUUUGGAACAUCCUAUCUGCAACAACCAAGAAAAACUGUGUCCAGGUGUACCUUGGAGAAUCGGUGCUGUUUUGAAGCCACAACUUCUCCUCUGAUUGCUCCAAGUACUCUUCUGCCCAGCGGCCAGGGUCUAUGAAACAGGGGGAAGGGAAUUGAAUAUGGUAGAAGACGACAGAAGAAAGAGUGAAGCUAUAAGAGAAAAUGAAAGAUAGCUGGGCAAAGAUGAGUGAAGAAUUGUCAGCUCCAUCUAAUGACAUCUUCAAUUAAAAUAACGCACUUAAAAUGUAU